GGCGGAUUAGCCAACGAUCGAAUGGU
rnacentral:tRNA from 1 species